UGGGGACCUUGGUGGCAGCGGGGAUUCGGAACAGGGCCCACAUGGUGCCUGCUGCCUUCCUCUCUCCUGCAUCGGCCUCCUCCCCCUCAUACAAGGGAAACUGAGGCAGCGACAUGCCUGGCUGCAGAACAAGGCUACUGUCCCAGAGAGGGAAGGAAGCUGCCUGUUGGGUGAAGCCCUCCUGGGGUCCCACUUCCAUGGGUCACUUUGGAGCCAGGUCCUGAGUCGCCUCCUUCAGAGCAUCUCGCUGUGCACACUACCUGCCCGAGUCACUUGGGAGCCGCCGCAGAUGUCAGAUCCACUGUUUGGAGCUUGAAGUGUUUGUACUUCAGUGACCCUUAUGCUACUUAAUAAUGGUCCGAGGCCCAAGAGCAGUGGCACUGGCAGUUUGAACAGGCCAGAGAAGAACCUGAAGAGCUUCUUUCAGUACCAAGAUGGUGGGCGGGGUGGCGAGUGCCUGUCAUCCCAGCACUAGGAGG
rnacentral:lncRNA from 1 species